rnacentral:rRNA from 1 species
CCAACAGCGUAUAUUAAAGUUGUUGCAGUUAAAAAGCUCGUAGUUGAAUUGAGGGAUUGACGUGACGGUCGUGCCUUACGGGGUAUGAAUGAACUGUUGCUGUUGAUUUUUCUCACCUUCUGGAGAAACUUGAUGUCCUUAAUUGGGUGUCUUGCGGAUCCAGGACCUUUACCUUGAAAAAAUUAGAGUGUUUAAAGCAGGCAUUUUGCUCGAAUACAUUAGCAUGGAAUAAUAGAAUAGGACGGCAUGGUUCUAUUUUGUUGGUUUCUAGGAUCACCGUAAUGAUUAAUAGGGAUAGUUGGGGGCAUUAGUAUUCAAUUGUCAGAGGUGAAAUACUUGGAUUUGUUGAAGACUAAUUACUGCGAAAGCAUUUGCCAAGGAUGUUUUCAUUAAUCAAGAACGAAAGUUAGGGGAUCGAAGACGAUCAGAUACCGUCGUAGUCUUAACCAAUAAACUAUGUCGACUAGGAAUCAGACGAUGUUAAUUUUUUAAUGAUUCGUUUGGCACCUUACG